rnacentral:rRNA from 1 species
CCUACGGGUGGCAGCAGUGGGGAAUAUUGGACAAUGGGCGAAAGCCUGAUCCAGCCAUGCCGCGUGUGUGAAGAAGGCCUUCGGGUUGUAAAGCACUUUCAGUGGGGAAGAAAGCCUUGGGGCUAAUACCCUCGAGGAAGGACAUCACCCACAGAAGAAGCACCGGCUAACUCCGUGCCAGCAGCCGCGGUAAUGCGGAGGGUGCGAGCGUUAAUCGGAAUUACUGGGCGUAAAGCGCGCGUAGGCGGUCUGAUAAGCCGGUUGUGAAAGCCCCGGGCUCAACCUGGGAACGGCAUCCGGAACUGUCAGGCUAGAGUGCAGGAGAGGAAGGUAGAAUUCCCGGUGUAGCGGUGAAAGGCGUAGAGAUCGGGAGGAAUACCAGUGGCGAAGGCGGCCUUCUGGACUGACACUGACGCUGAGGUGCGAAAGCGUGGGUAGCAAACAGGAUUAGAUACCCCUGUAGUC